AUGUCAGGCCGAUGGGGUCACCGAGUUGUGGUGUAUUGCGGUGAACCACAAUACUUCUUUUUAAAUGACACUCUGCAUGUCACUGCCUAUGAUUCUCGUUUGGAAACAUUUGACUUGAACCAUAAUUCAUUAAACAUGAUAGUUACAGUGGACACGGGUGGGAAUACUUGGAGGACAACUCGACAGCCUCCCCAGACUGAAUUUACUUUCAUUGGGCUCUCUCAGGGACGCUUGCAUGGUAUUGAGAUGGAAGAUGGUAAUGGUUGCCGGAUAUCAGUUUGGAUUCUUGAGGAUUAUGCACACAACCAGCAUUCUGGAUCUGCUAGGAAGGCCUUGUCUAGAGCACAGAGAGUACUACGCCUUUGUUGCACUCCAUCCAGAACGUAA
rnacentral:rRNA from 1 species